rnacentral:siRNA from 1 species
UAAGAUUGCAAAGAGUACCA